GUUGCAUAUAUUUCAGUAAUUAAAAUUUGUUUACACAGAUGCAUAUGAUUAAUCUUAGUACAUUUGAUGCGAAUUAUUUUCUUUGCACUUUACUUUGUCUUGACACAAGAAAGCACAAAAUAGUCUGUGUAGUCUAGAUAAAGGCACACGGGCAACCCAUAAUCAAUAGUACAUAAAUGCAUGCAAUGGAUGAAUAAUUUUAGAUAACAGUGCUGGUACAAGCCAGUUUUAACAAUUUCUUAUGAUUUAAUCUGACAGGGGCAUUGGUAUAUGUAUAUGAAUAUCCUUGGACUUUUCCAAUCUGGUAAUAAAAUCAUUUCUAAAGAGGGACGUCCGAUUUUCAGUUUGACGGUACGGUCUAGAUGAGGACGUCGAAUAUGUGCAUGGCUGCAAGGCGAAUUUAUAAUAUAUGCUCGUAUCCUGCAUGCACAUAUGUUCCAAAAAUUCCGAUUCUUUGUGAUUGCUGCUCCAUAGAUCCUGGAUAUUGUAUUUUUUAGUUAACGUGUCCUGGAUAUGUAUGAAAUAUUUGACGCAGGACGUUUAACAGACAACAAUAAUUCAUCGUUAUAUUUUCCGACAAACGUUCAACUUGAU
rnacentral:lncRNA from 1 species